rnacentral:rRNA from 1 species
AUACGAAGGGGGCUAGCGUUGUUCGGAUUUACUGGGCGUAAAGCGCACGUAGGCGGAUUGAUUAGUUAGGGGUGAAAUCCCGAGGCUCAACCUCGGAACUGCCUUUAAUACUGUCAAUCUCGAGACCGGAAGAGGUGAGUGGAACUCCUAGUGUAGAGGUGGAAUUCGUAGAUAUUAGGAAGAACACCAGUGGCGAAGGCGGCUCACCUGGACUUCAACUGACGCUGAGGCGCGAAAGCGUGGGGAGCAAACAGGAUUAGAAACCCCUGUAGUCC